CAUGAUUGACCAUGGCAAUCGUCAAUUAGAGAAAUACACCAUUACACACUGUGCAAACAAUUUCCAGGGCAGUGUCCUGGUCUAGCAGGGGGAAGGCCAGGAAAAAACACACAGAUAGUUCAGGAUGCUCACUGCAGAGUAGCUUGGCACAGUUUUAAUGUCAUUUAUGGGCUUGGAGUGUGAGGAAGGGGCUUCUCUGCUAAGUGCAGCAGGCUCAGGGCAGGCCGCCGUCUGAGCAGGGCUCUGCGCGCCCCCGCUCACCUGAUCUGCUUUACUUCCCCAGGGGUCUCCUGGAUCGCAGGUUCCCGGCCCCCAACACGUACAUCGACGACCCCUUCCGCCAGCUGCGCGGGGCUGGGCACACCCACCCAGUGUACGCCAACGCUGACGCCCUGGCACACACGGUCCAGGACUCUCAGAAUGCCUCCCAGGGAGAUGUGGUGCCCACCAAAGAUAUGAGCACCUACAGCAACAGUGAGCUGUUCGCCUGCCACAUCAGGAAGAGCCGGAAGGCGGCGGCGGAGCUGGAACAGGAAAUCCAGAGGCUGGAGCUGGCCAGCAGGACCCGGGCGCAGCUGAAGGCGGGCUCGGAGAUGAACCUGCUGGGCGUGGGCAAGGCCGCCAAGCGCACGCCCUUCCGGCAGUCACUGGCGCUUGGAGGAGACUCCCCGGCGUCGCAGGGCGGCUUCUUCACCCCUCUGCUGAGACGCACCGCCUCUGCAAAAAACACCCUGAGGCGCGUGCCCUCCGCCUUCUUCCUGGAGAAGGGCAAGGCUCUCCACAAGCGGAAGGUGUGCAUUGCCGUUGAAGUUGCUCUGCUGGAUUGUAGAUGUCUGGUCUUCUGGCUGAGAUCAAGUGCUCUCUGCUUGCGAGCACCAGUGUGUGAGAGAGAGAACAGGUUCAUAUCUGCCAAUAGAUUCAUUAUUCUGAGAGGACGGGGCGGCUGUUGUCUUUCUAUACUGUCUCCAAAGCCUGGUGUGUGUAGGGGCAGAGUGGUACUUCUUUGACACCCAGAGAGUUACGUGUUUUUCCUUUUCAUUCUUGAGUGGGUGGCCUAGAUGUAGGGAUAGACAGGCCUGAGUCCUCAAUGGGUGAGUCGUGAGUGGAUGAAGUGAGUCCUGCGUGGGUGGCCUGGGUUCAUUUAGUCUCUGUAGUUUCAAGAUUGCAGGCACACGUUUACCGCCUGACAGAGUUACUGUCUCACAUAUUACCCAGAAAACCCCACCUUGCAGGUGACGACAGCAACCGGAGGUGAACCGCCAGUGCCGCUGGCUCUGUAAGGAAGGCGCCAACAGCGACAGGUCUCCUUCUGCACCCCUGUGCCCUGUGUAGAGAUUCUCCUGCUCGGGCUGCAGGCUGCCCCAGACCUCCGGCAGCUGUGUCUGUCCUGCACCCCUGUGCCCUGUGUAGAGAUUCUCCUGCUCAGGCUGUCAGAACAGGCAGCACAUAACUCUGACCUGCACCCCUGUGCUUCUCCCCAUGUGGCGGGUCCUUCAAAAAGAAACACAACUUGCAAGAAUUGGGCCAAGCAACUAAAAAGAUGUAAAUAUCCAAAAAUAUACAAAUAAAUUCACGCUUGAUACGGAACAGCAGCAUUUGCUCGGGGAAGGUGGGGGUCUCUGUUACACCGGGACCCUGAGCAGUGUGCGGUUUCAAGAUAACGGGGCGCGCCGUUUCAUUUCUGGCAUCUUCAAGGAGCUGCCAGUGCUGUCCACUCCCACUGCUGCCAGAGAACAUCCUGCUGCGGUUCGUCUUGAAACCGUUCUUGUGAAGUCUGGGAUUCAGCAUUCCUGCUGCCCAGACGGGGAGGAACGGAAACGUGCGCCGGUCCUCCUCUGAAUUGCGUGUCGACUGAGAUGCCCACCAUCGGUGCACGCAGUGGAGUGGGCGGGGGGAGGUGCCAGCUGAGGACUGGCCAGCUCGAUCCUCCGGGGAUCCUGGUGUGACACUCAUGGGCUCUUCUAACGGUGGGACUCUGUGUGUUUUUUUUCAGGAAUGGGAGACAAAGGCGUCCGUUUAAAACUGGGUCUGCUGGCUCACCUCUACCUUACACACGUUGGCCUUAAUUGUAUGAGUAUAUAUUGCACUGAAUAUAGUAUUACUGUGCAUGUGGACCAUGCACUUAUUUCUGGGGCUCUUUUGUACUUUUUAUAUUAAUUAAAACCACUUAACUUUAUAUUUGGGGUUUCCCUAACUCUGGAAUGAAAAGGGCAAUAGCUGUCCUUUAUGAUGGCUGGCACUGUUCCUUGCUGUGUAAUGUACAUCAGCUCAAACUGAAAAUCUGUACUUCAGGAUCUGACAUCAUUAAAAAUGGCUAACACCCUUCUGGAGCUCCGCUGGUUUCUUCACUCCGCAGUUCACUGGACACGCCGCGCUCCGACGACGGAGUCACGCGUCCGCAGCCCGUGGCUCUGUGCGCAGCCUGGCAGUGGGGGGUCAGCUGGAGGGUCGUGGGUUCGAAUCCCGGGGGGGGC
rnacentral:lncRNA from 1 species